rnacentral:rRNA from 1 species
AGAGUUUGAUCCUGGCUCAGAUUGAACGCUGGCGGCAGGCCUAACACAUGCAAGUCGAGCGGAUGAGGGGAGCUUGCUUCCUGAUUCAGCGGCGGACGGGGGAGUAAUGCCUAGGAAUCUGCCCGAUAGUGGGGGACAACGUUUCGAAAGGAACGCUAAUACCGCAUACGUCCUACGGGAGAAAGCAGGGGACCUUCGGGCCUUGCGCUAUCGGAUGAGCCUAGGUCGGAUUAGCUAGUUGGUGGGGUAAAGGCUCACCAAGGCGACGAUCCGUAACUGGUCUGAGAGGAUGAUCAGUCACACUGGAACUGAGACACGGUCCAGACUCCUACGGGAGGCAGCAGUGGGGAAUAUUGGACAAUGGGCGAAAGCCUGAUCCAGCCAUGCCGCGUGUGUGAAGAAGGUCUUCGGAUUGUAAAGCACUUUAAGCUGGGAGGAAGGGCAGUAAGUUAAUACCUUGCUGUUUUGACGUUACCCAAGGAGGAAGCACCGGCUAACUACGUGCCAGCAGCCGCGGUAAUACGUAGGGUGCGAGCGUUAAUCGGAAUUACUGGGCGUAAAGCGUGCGCAGGCGGUUAUAUAAGACAGAUGUGAAAUCCCCGGGCUCAACCUGGGAACUGCAUUAGUGACUGUAUAGCUAGAGUGCGGCAGAGGGGGAUGGAAUUCCGCGUGUAGCAGUGAAAUGCGUAGAUAUGCGGAGGAACACCGAUGGCGAAGGCAAUCCCCUGGGCCUGCACUGACGCUCAUGCACGAAAGCGUGGGGAGCAAACAGGAUUAGAUACCCUGGUAGUCCACGCCCUAAACGAUGUCAACUGGUUGUUGGGUCUUCACUGACUCAGUAACGAAGCUAACGCGUGAAGUUGACCGCCUGGGGAGUACGGCCGCAAGGUUAAAACUCAAAGGAAUUGACGGGGACCCGCACAAGCGGUGGAUGAUGUGGUUUAAUUCGAUGCAACGCGAAAAACCUUACCCACCUUUGACAUCUGUGGAAUUUGCCAGAGAUGGUUUAGUGCUCGAAAGAGAACCGUAACACAGGUGCUGCAUGGCUGUCGUCAGCUCGUGUCGUGAGAUGUUGGGUUAAGUCCCGCAACGAGCGCAACCCUUGCCAUUAGUUGCUACAUUCAGUUGGGCACUUUAAUGGGACUGCCGGUGACAAACCGGAGGAAGGUGGGGAUGACGUCAAGUCCUCAUGGCCCUUAUGGCCAGGGCUUCACACGUAAUACAAUGGUCGGUACAGAGGGCAGCCAACCCGCGAGGGGGAGCCAAUCCCAGAAAGCCGAUCGUAGUCCGGAUUGCAGUCUGCAACUCGACUGCAUGAAGUCGGAAUCGCUAGUAAUCGCGGAUCAGCAUGUCGCGGUGAAUACGUUCCCGGGCCUUGUACACACCGCCCGUCACACCAUGGGAGUGGGUUCUACCAGAAGUAGUUAGCCUAACCGUAAGGAGGGCGAUUACCACGGUAGGAUUCAUGACUGGGGUGAAGUCGUAACAAGGUAACCC